UACGUAGGUGUCAAGCGUUGUCCGGAUUUACUGGGCGUAAAGAGCGCGCAGGCGGUCGUUCAAGUCGCGUGUGAAAGCCCCCGGCUCAACUGGGGAGGGUCACGCGAUACUGAUCGACUCGAAGGCAGGAGAGGGUAGUGGAAUUCCCGGUGUAGUGGUGAAAUGCGUAGAUAUCGGGAGGAACACCAGUGGCGAAGGCGACUACUUGGCCUGUUCUUGACGCUGAGGCGCGAAAGCUAGGGGAGCAAACGGG
rnacentral:rRNA from 1 species